AUCCCUUCUUUCCUAAUGUAGUGGCUCUUCUCUAACUUGAUCGUUUCUAAUUCUUUCCAUCUCUCGCAACUCUUUUCUCCUUCGCCUUAAGGUUCUCUCAAUCUCUAGAUCAAAAUAGUACUUUGUAUUCUCCAGAAUGUUUCUAUACAUGCACUAGCAUAGACCUGGAAAAGAAAAAUAAAAACAACUAAUUAAACUAAACUACCAG
rnacentral:lncRNA from 1 species